rnacentral:rRNA from 1 species
GAUGAACGCUGGCGGCGUGCCUAAUACAUGCAAGUCGAGCGAACAGACGAGGAGCUUGCUCCUCUGACGUUAGCGGCGGACGGGUGAGUAACACGUGGAUCACCUACCUAUAAGACUGGGAUAACUUCGGGAAACCGGAGCUAAUACCGGAUAAUAUAUUGAACCGCAUGGUUCAAUAGUGAAAGACGGUUUUGCUGUCACUUAUAGAUGGAUCCGCGCCGCAUUAGCUAGUUGGUAAGGUAUCGGCUUACCAAGGCUACGAUGCGUAGCCGACCUGAGAGGGUGAUCGGCCACACUGGAACUGAGACACGGUCCAGACUCCUACGGGAGGCAGCAGUAGGGAAUCUUCCGCAAUGGGCGAAAGCCUGACGGAGCAACGCCGCGUGAGUGAUGAAGGUCUUCGGAUCGUAAAACUCUGUUAUUAGGGAAGAACAAAUGUGUAAGUAACUAUGCACGUCUUGACGGUACCUAAUCAGAAAGCCACGGCUAACUACGUG